rnacentral:rRNA from 1 species
UACGGGGGGAGCAAGCGUUGUUCGGAUUUACUGGGCGUAAAGGGCGCGUAGGCGGUCAGCACAAGUCAGUUGUGAAAUCUCCGGGCUUAACUCGGAAAGGUCAACUGAUACUGUGCGACUAGAGUGCAGAAGGGGCAACUGGAAUUCUCGGUGUAGCGGUGAAAUGCGCAGAUAUCAGGAGGAACACCGGUGGCGAAGGCGGGUCUCUGGGCAGUUACUGACGCUGAGGAGCGAAAGCGUGGGGAGCGAACAGG